GAUCCUGGCUCAGAUUGAACGCUGGCGGCAUGCUUUACACAUGCAAGUCGGACGGCAGCGGGGGUGCUUGCACCUGCCGGCGAGUGGCGAACGGGUGAGUAACAUAUUGGAAUGUACCGAGUAGUGGGGGGAUAACCAAUCGAAAGAUUGGCUAAUACCGCAUACGUCCUAAGGGGGAAAGCAGGGGGAUCUUCGGACCUUGCGCUAUUUGAGCAGCCAAUAUCUGAUUAGCUAGUUGGG
rnacentral:rRNA from 1 species